rnacentral:rRNA from 1 species
UACGGAGGGUGCAAGCGUUAUCCGGAUUCACUGGGUUUAAAGGGUGCGUAGGCGGGCAUUUAAGUCAGUGGUGAAAUACCUGAGCUUAACUUGGGAACUGCCAUUGAUACUAUUUGUCUUGAAUGUCGUGGAGGUUAGCGGAAUAUGUCAUGUAGCGGUGAAAUGCUUAGAGAUUACAUGGAAUACCAAUUGCGAAGGCAGGUUACUACUAAUGGAUUGACGCUGAUGGACGAAAGCGUGGGUAGCGAACGGG